AGUGGACGCUGGCGGUAGGCCUAACACAUGCAAGUCGAACGGCAGCACAGUAAGAGCUUGCUCUUACGGGUGGCGAGUGGCGGACGGGUGAGGAAUACAUCGGAAUCUACUUUUUCGUGGGGGAUAACGUAGGGAAACUUACGCUAAUACCGCAUACGACCUACGGGUGAAAGCAGGGGAUCUUCGGACCUUGCGCGAUUGAAUGAGCCGAUGUCGGAUUAGCUCGUUGGCGGGGUAAAGGCCCACCAAGGCGACGAUCCGUAGCUGGUCUGAGAGGAUGAUCAGCCACACUGGAACUGAGACGCGGUCCAGACUCCGACGGGAGGAAGCAGUGGGGAAUAUUGGACAAUGGGCGCAAGCCUGAUCCAGCCAUACCGCGUGGGUGAAGAAGGCGUUCGGGUUGUAAAGCCCUUUUGUUGGGAAAGAAAAGCAGCAGGUUAAUACCCCGCGGUUCUGACGGUACCCAAAGAAUAAGCACCGGCUAACUUCGUG
rnacentral:rRNA from 1 species